rnacentral:rRNA from 1 species
GACGAACCGAGCGAACGUUGUUCGGAAUCACUGGGCUUAAAGGGCGCGUAGGCAGGUGCUCAAGUCUGUGGUGAAAUCCUCCGGCUCAACCGGAGAACUGCCAUGGAUACUGGGUGCCUCGAGGGUGGUAGGGGUAUGCGGAACUAUCGGUGGAGCGGUGAAAUGCGUUGAUAUCGAUAGGAACUCCGGUGGCGAAGGCGGCAUACUGGAUCACAUCUGACGCUGAGGCGCGAAAGCCAGGGGAGCGAACGGG